rnacentral:lncRNA from 1 species
GUUGUUCAAAAUAUAAUCAAUUUUCCCUAUACAGUUCUUUUUUUUUUUAUAAGGUAAAUGUUUAGUAUUUUUAUUUAUUACAAUAAAGACCGUAAGAAUAGUUUUAGAAAGUAAUCUUAGAAAGCAAUGGGGCAAAGUAAUCUUAUUUAGGUUUGAGGGAGGGGAAUUUAAAAAAAAGAUAUAUUUGUGUUACAUGGCGAAAAAAAUAUUGUUUUGACGAAAGAGGUGGCGAAAAAAAUAAUUGACCCAGGGGAAACCCUGCAUGAUACAAGUAUACGAUAUAUCAUGAUUCAAACGACUGCCGUUGGUAUUUAUUCAAGUCCUUUCAAAUUGGUAAAUUAUACAAUUUGAAUAAUAUACUCAAAAACAAAUGCAAUCCCUCAAUUAGUUUCUUUUUUCUGUAUACUCCAUCCAGACAUUGUCUUAUCGGGGCCUUUUAUGACUGACUAUGCGGUAUGGGCUUUGCUCACUAUUGAAGGCCGUACGGUGACCUAUAGUUGUUAAUGUCUGUGUCAUUUUGGUCUCUUGUGGACAGUUGUCUCAUUGGCAAUCAUACCACAUGUUCUUUUUUAUAUUACAUAUUUGCCACUGAACGUUAAACAAGCAACAAUAAAUCAAUCACUGUAAACUGUGCAUUGAUUUGAAGGUUAUAUUUCAAAUUAUGUUAUACAUUUCUACAGAUGUAUAGCAAAUAAUUUUGAUACUAACAUACAUGGGAAUAUGUGGUGCCUUAUUUGUGUUAACUGUAGUAUAUGACUUGUAAGUUAAAUAUAUGUAUAAGUAUAUUAUGGGUUUGCAAUCAGACAGCAACCCAGACAAACAACGUUUAUAAAUAUAUAUUUAACAGUUUUUGUUCUUUAUUUUGAAUGUUUGUGUACAUGACUGUGUAUAGUAUUUUCUAUAAUAAAUAAUUUCAAGACAUGCAUAUAGUGUGGCUAAUGUCUGAAAUGCUACCAACGC